rnacentral:rRNA from 1 species
UACGUAGGGUGCGAGCGUUGUCCGGAAUUAUUGGGCGUAAAGAGCUUGUAGGCGGUCUGUCGCGUCUGCUGUGAAAACCUGAGGCUCAACCUCAGGCCUGCAGUCGAUACGAGCAGACUAGAGUGUUGCAGGGGAGACUGGAAUUCCUGGUGUAGCGGUGAAAUGCGCAGAUAUCAGGAAGAACACCAGUGGCGAAGGCGGUUCUCUGGGACGGUACUGACGCUGAGACGCGAAAGCGUGGGGAGCGAACAGG